rnacentral:tRNA from 1 species
GGCUCAGGGGUUAAGCAUUUGACUUGUAUUCAGCAAUUCGUGGGUUCGAAUCCCAU